AUUUAUAUAGUUUAAGUAAAACAUUACAUUUUCACUGUAAAAAUAAUACCUAUGUAUUUAUAAAUA
rnacentral:tRNA from 1 species